rnacentral:rRNA from 1 species
GGAAGGGGUGUAUUUAUUAGAUAAAAAACCAAUGCCCUUCGGGGCUCCUUGGUGAAUCAUAAUAACUUAACGAAUCGCAUGGCCUUGCGCCGGCGAUGGUUCAUUCAAAUUUCUGCCCUAUCAACUUUCGAUGGUAGGAUAGUGGCCUACCAUGGUGGCAACGGGUAACGGGGAAUUAGGGUUCGAUUCCGGAGAGGGAGCCUGAGGAACGGCUACCACAUCCAAGGAAGGCAGCAGGCGCGCAAAUUACCCAAUCCCGACACGGGGAGGUAGUGACAAUAAAUACUGAUACGGGGCUCUUUUGGGUCUCGUAAUUGGAAUGAGUACAAUCUAAAUCCCUUAACGAGGAACAAUUGGAGGGCAAGUCUGGUGCCAGCAGCCGCGGUAAUUCCAGCUCCAAUAGCGUAUAUUAAAGUUGUUGCAGUUAAAAAGCUCGUAGUUGAACCUUGGGUCUGGCUGACCGGUCCGCCUCACCGCGAGUACUGGUCCGGCUGGACCUUUCCUUCUGGGGAAUCUCAUGGCCUUCACUGGCUGUGGGGGGAACCAGGACUUUUAC